GGCUCGUUGGCGCAACGGUAGCGCGUCUGACUCCAGAUCAGAAGGUUGGGUGUUCAAAUCACUCACGAGUCA
rfam:Trichinella zimbabwensis scaffold10s, whole genome shotgun sequence.